CAGCAGCCGCGGGAAUACGAAGGGGGCUAGCGUUGCUCGGAUUUACUGGGCGUAAAGCGCACGUAGGCGGAUCCUUAAGUCAGAGGUGAAAUCCCAAGGCUCAACCUUGGAACUGCCUUUGAUACUGGGGAUCUCGAGUUCGGGAGAGGUGAGUGGAACUGCGAGUGUAGAGGUGAAAUUCGUAGAUAUUCGCAAGAACACCAGUGGCGAAGGCGGCUCACUGGCCCGAUACUGACGCUGAGGUGCGAAAGCGUGGGGAGCAAACAGGAUUAGAUACCCCAGUAGUCCCUGUCUCUUAUAC
rnacentral:rRNA from 1 species